UACGGAGGGUGCAAGCGUUAUCCGGAUUCACUGGGUUUAAAGGGUGCGUAGGUGGGAUGGUAAGUCCGUGGUGAAAUCUCCAAGCUUAACUUGGAAACUGCCGUUGAUACUAUCUGUCUUGAAUAUUGUGGAGGUGAGCGGAAUAUGUCAUGUAGCGGUGAAAUGCUUAGAUAUGACAUAGAACACCAAUUGCGAAGGCAGCUCGCUACACAUAUAUUGACUCUGAGGCACGAAAGCGUGGGGAUCAAACAGG
rnacentral:rRNA from 1 species